GGUUCGCUUUCACCGAGCAAACCCGGGUUCGACUCCCGGUAUCGGAAAUUUGUUUUUUUUACAUACUUGUAU